UUCUUUCAGUUUAGGCACACCGCCGCAGCUGCACAAGACGCAAUGCUGAUCUCUAUCAGGCCAACAAUCAGAUUUUUAAUAUUCUUCUGUUGGCAUUGGAGUAUCAUUAGAAUGAGCUUCCAAACGAACUCAACCAAUGGCAAGGUUAAAGGUUCGAGAAGACGACGAAGAGAAAGCUCUUCCCUUACAGAUGAAGAAGAGAAUUCAGGACGAAAGACACUUAAGCUCCGGGAAGAAGAGGAAAACUCAGCAAAAUUCGG